rnacentral:lncRNA from 10 species
GACUGCUGUGCUAGCAAUCAGCGAGACUCCAUGGGAUAGGACCCUCUGAGCCAGGUGCGGGAUAUAGUCUCCUGGUGCACCGUUUUUUAAGCCCGUCGGAAAAGCGCAGUAUUAGGGUGGGAGUGACCCGGUUUUCCAGGUGCCAUCUAUCACUCUUUUCUUUGACUAGGAAAGGGAACUCCCUGACCCCUUGUGCUUCCCCAGUGAGUCAAUGCCUAGCCCUGCUUCGGCUUGCGCACGGUGCGCUGCACCCUCUGUCCUGCGCCCACUGUCUGGCACUCUCUAGUGAGAUGAACCUGGUACCUCAGAUGGAAAUGCAGAAAUCACCGGUCUUCUGCGUUGCUCACGCUGGGAGCUGUAGACCGGAGCUGUUCCUAUUCGGCCAUCUUGGCUGCCAGAACCGAAAGAAGCAGAAGGAAGAAUUUCAUUAAGACCCAGUGCGAGUAACAACAAAAUAAAAUGAUUGUGGUGAGCCUCAGCCCAACGGCGACAUCCAGGAAACUGACAGAGCUGAGGCAGCUCCUAGGAUGUCAACGCAAAGGUUGACAGAGCCUGCCAAGGAACCAGAUGCUGAUGUCAGACAGAGACAGGAAAAAUGGACCACAGUUUGUUAUCUGUUUCCUGUGAUUAGAAUCAGCAUCAACCCUCACUCUCUUUUUCAGAUUAAUUAAUAAAGUCUGGUGUGAAGAAUUUCAAUAAAAUAUUUGUUCAAAAGGGAGAAAAGAAACAUCUGCUUUAGAAUUGUUUUCCCCUUUAGUCAGAGUCUGUAAAAUGUGUGUACG